GCGGGCGUGAUGGAACUGGUAGACAUACCGGACUUAAAAUCCGGAGCGAUAGCGUGCGGGUUCGAGUCCCGCCGCCCGUACCA
rnacentral:tRNA from 1 species